rnacentral:lncRNA from 1 species
CCAAGUGUCACCAGUGACCCCUCGUCUCCACAUCCCGGAGCGCUCUGUCUCCGGCUUUGUUCGUGCUGGCCUGGACAUAGCACUGCGCCUUUCCAUCUGUGACUGCUCCCGCUCACUCCUGCAGCCCUGCUGAGCACUUCCGCUUCUCUUGUGCAUCCUCUUGACAGAAAGGGCUUUCCCUGGGUGUGUUUUGCUACGUUUUGACAAAGGACAGAUAAAAUAUAAUACCACAAACAGGAAAUACUGGGCAUGUAAAAGUAAUGCAUCUUGGUAAUACCACCAUUAGCGUUUUCACUUGCAGCAUUGCAGAAGCAGAGGCUGAAAUACCUCAGCUGGCAUUGGCACUUCUGCCCUGGCUUUGCUGCAGCUUUACCAGACAGGUUCCCAUGGAUGAUGCUGAAUACUGGAGAAGAGGAGGGAGGAGCUCACUCUUUAUUAGAGAUUCUGCUACCCAGAUAAUAUGCUGCUGUAAACUGUGACCAUGGAAAACACUUCAGAUUUAAAGUGUUGCAAGAACAACUUUAUUUGGAGACCUACAUUCUCAUGAAAAUGUGUACUUCAUCCUGGCUUCAGAAAAAAAAGAAAAUUUUCUUCCAAAUGUCUGUAUUUGGGUUUUGAAUAAAAGUCAUUACUCUCCAUAGUGAGUAUUUUGU